GAUGAACGCUGGCGGCGUGCCUAAUACAUGCAAGUCGAACGGGGAGUAGCAAUACUCUUAGUGGCGAACGGGGGAGUAACGCGUUGGUACCUGCCCCGAAGCGGGGGAUAACGGACCGAAAGGUCCGCUAAUACCCCAUGUGCUCGGUAACGAGUAAAGGUGAACACCACUUUGGGAGGGGCCUGCGUCCCAUCAGCUAGUUGGUAAGGUAACGGCUUACCAAGGCGAUGACGGGUAGGGGACCUGAGAGGGUGGCCCCCCACAAUGGAACUGAAACACGGUCCAUACACCUACGGGUGGCAGCAGUAGGGAAUAUUGGUAAUGGGCGCAAGCCUGAGCCAGCAACGCCGCGUGUGGGAUGACGGCCUUCGGGUUGUAGCGCACUUUUGACUGGGACGAGGAAGGACGGUACCGGUCGAAUCAGCCUCGGCUAACUACGUG
rnacentral:rRNA from 1 species